rnacentral:misc_RNA from 1 species
AGCAGCCGCGGUAAUUCCAGCUCCAAUAGCGUAUAUUAAAGUUGUUGCAGUUAAAAAGCUCGUAGUUGAAUUUCGGGAUCAGUAUGUUGGUCGUGCUUCGGUACGUACUGUCAUUACUGGUUUCUACCUUCUGAAGAACCUUGAUGUCAUUAAUUUGGUGUCUUGGGGAAUCAGGACUGUUACUUUGAAAAAAUUAGAGUGUUUAAAGCAAGCAUACGCUUGAAUACAUUAGCAUGGAAUAAUGAAAUAGGACGUUUGAUUCUAUUUUGUUGGUUUCUAGGAUCGACGUAAUGAUUAAUAGGGAUAGUUGGGGGGCAUUAGUAUUCAAUUGUCAGAGGUGAAAUUCUUGGAUUUAUUGAAGACUAACUACUGCGAAAGCAUUUGCCAAGGAUGUUUUCAUUAAUCAAGAACGAAAGUUAGGGGAUCGAAGACGAUCAGAUACCGUCGUAGUCUUAACCAUAAACUAUGCCGACUAGGAAUCAGACGAUGUUAAUUUUUUAAUGACUCGUUUGGCACCUUA